GUCCCGUUGGACUUCCGGUGAGGUCCUCGGCCCUUCAAGCCGAAGAGGCGGGUUCAACUCCCGCACGGGAUGCCA
rnacentral:tRNA from 1 species